GAUCCUGGCUCAGGAUGAACGCUAGCUACAGGCUUAACACAUGCAAGUCGAGGGGAAACGACAUCGAAAGCUUGCUUUUGAUGGGCGUCGACCGGCGCACGGGUGAGUAACGCGUAUCCAACCUGCCUACCACUUGGGGAUAACCUUGCGGAAAGUAAGACUAAUACCCAAUGACAUCCCACGAAGACAUCUUGGAAUGGGAUUAAAGAUUUAUCGGUGAUUGGAUGGGGAUGCGUCUGAUUAG
rnacentral:rRNA from 1 species